UACGGAGGGUGCAAGCGUUGUCCGGAUUUAUUGGGUUUAAAGGGUGCGUAGGUGGCUAGCUAAGUCUGACCUGAAAGUGGGCCGCUUAACGGCACAGGGUGGUUGGAUACUGGUUAGCUUGAAGAGGGUGGAGGCCGCCGGAACGGAUCGUGUAGCGGUGAAAUGCAUAGAGAUGAUCCAGAACCCCGAUUGCGUAGGCAGGCGGCUACGCCCCACUUGACACUGAGGCACGAGAGCAUGGGGAGCAAACAGG
rnacentral:rRNA from 1 species